GGGGAUAUAGCUCAGUGGCACAGUACCUGCCUGGCAAGCACCAGGUCAUGAGUUCAAUUCUUGGUACCCCCC
rfam:Cavia porcellus supercont2_621 genomic scaffold, whole genome shotgun sequence.